rnacentral:rRNA from 1 species
GAUGAACGCUGGCGGCGUGCCUAAUACAUGCAAGUCGAGCGAAUGGAUUAAGAGCUUGCUCUUAUGAAGUUAGCGGCGGACGGGUGAGUAACACGUGGGUAACCUGCCCAUAAGACUGGGAUAACUCCGGGAAACCGGGGCUAAUACCGGAUAACAUUUUGAACCGCAUGGUUCGAAAUUGAAAGGCGGCUUCGGCUGUCACUUAUGGAUGGACCCGCGUCGCAUUAGCUAGUUGGUGGGGUAACGGCUCACCAAGGCAACGAUGCGUAGCCGACCUGAGAGGGUGAUCGGCCACACUGGGACUGAGACACGGCCCAGACUCCUACGGGAGGCAGCAGUAGGGAAUCUUCCGCGGUGGACGAAAGUCUGACGGAGCAACGCCGCGUGAGUGAUGAAGGCUUUCGGGUCGUAAAACUCUGUUGUUAGGGAAGAACAAGUGCUAGUUGAAUAAGCUGGCACCUUGACGGUACCUAACCAGAAAGCCACGGCUAACUACGUGCCAGCCGCCGCCGUAA